ensembl:rRNA 5S_rRNA 5S ribosomal RNA
GUCUACGGCCAUACCACCCUGAACGCGCCCGAUCUCGUCUGAUCUCGGAAGCUAAGCAGGGUCGGGCCUGGUUAGUACUUGGAAGGGAGAAACUACCAACAGAGCUAAGAGACA